rnacentral:rRNA from 1 species
AGUGAACGCUGGCGGCAGGCCUAAUACAUGCAAGUCGAACGGCAGCACAGCUUAAGCUUGCUUAAGUGGGUGGCGAGUGGCGGACGGGUGAGGAAUACAUGGGAAUCUGCCCAGUCGUGGGGGGAUAACGUAGGGAAACUUACGCUAAUACCGCAUGCGCCCUUCGGGGGAAAGUCGGGGACCGGCAAGGCCUGACGCGAUUGGAUGAGCCCAUGUUCGAUUAGCUAGUUGGCGGGGUAACGGGCCCACCAAGGCGACGAUCGAUAGCUGGUCUGAGAGGAUGAUCAGCCACACUGGAACUGAGACACGGUCCAGACUCCUACGGGAGGCAGCAGUAGGGAAUAUUGGACAAUGGGGGCAACCCUGAUCCAGCCAUGCCGCGUGAGUGAAGAAGGCCUUCGGGUUGUAAAGACGUCUUUGUUGGGGUAAGAAAAGACUUCUAGGUUAAUACCUAGGGUUCGUGUACGGUACCCAAAGAACUAAAGCACCGGACUAACUUCGUGUCCGCAGCGCGGUAA